GCAUUACAGGACACGUCUAGUUGUUUACGUAUGUAAUAGUUGAUGAAUUUUUGUUGCUUUAUUUCUUCUUUGAUCAUCAAUCUUAGUAACCUCUUCCACUUUUAAAUUACCCUUAUGUGACUAGUGGCAGUGUGGCCUUCUGUUUUUACGAUUCCAUGAAUAUUUUUUAGUUUGAGUGGCUUUUGGUUUUCUAUUGAAUGAAGUGAAUGGUGUCCUUAUUGUACGCCUCCUUAUGGUUAUCUAACUAAGACAUAUCUUCACAAUUUGGCAUAACUGCAGUACAUGCAGCAACCAAAACAGAGGGUGAGACUCUUGUCAUGGAAGACAAGACAACUUUUGGAGGUUCGGCUGAUACGUUACAAUCUGGGUUAUUUUAAUGUGUCUAUUUUGUGGUAUGAGAGCAAGGACUUGGGUAGUGUCUAUUAUCAGAUGGUUGAAGGGCAAGAUGGAUCUUGGGUUAGUCUUGUGGAGGAUUGUAUCUGACAUUACUAAGGAUAGGAAGGUCCUUAAGAAGAUCUUAAAGGAAGGAGACGGAUAUGAAAGACCAAAUGAUGGAGCUAUGGUUCUAG